rnacentral:lncRNA from 1 species
AAAUUAAUUACUAUAGGUUAUUUAAGUAUUAAAAAAUUAUAAUAUUUAAUAAAAAAUAUAAAAUUGACAAAAAAUAAUAAAUUAAUUUUUGAUUUUUUAAAUUAACUUGAUGUCUUAUAUGAUGCCUAUUUAUGCUUUUUUCACAAUUAUUUUUUAAAGUAACUUUAUUAUAUCACUUCUAAUUAGUUAUUAUAAGUCAUUUAAGACACGAGUUCUUCGCUG